rnacentral:misc_RNA from 1 species
GAUGAAGAACGUAGCGAAAUGCGAUAAGUAAUGCGAAUUGCAGAAUUUCCGUGAGUCAUCGAGUCUUUGAACGCACAUUGCGCCCCCUGGUAUUCCGGGGGGCAUGCCUAUUCGAGCGUCGUGGUCACGCUUCAAGCCCGGCUUGAUGAUGGGGAACGCCCUCUCUCGGGGGGGGGCCUCCUUCAAAUGCAACUCCAGACGCCUCGUUGGCUGGGAGCGCAGCAGCAGUGCGCUUCCCCGAGGCGACCGGAUGCCCCUCGUGGGCUCGAGAUUGCUAGACCUCGAAUUAGGCAGGGAUACCCGCUGAACUUAAGCAUAUCAAUAAGCGGAGGA